AAGUCGUAACAAGGUCUCCGUUGGUGAACCAGCGGAGGGAUCAUUAUAGAGUUUUCUAAACUCCCAACCCAUGUGAACUUACCAUUGUUGCCUCGGCAGAAGCUGCUCGGUACACCUUACCUUGGAACGGCCUACCCUGUAGCGCCUUACCCUGGAACGGCUUACCCUGUAACGGCUGCCGGUGGACUACCAAACUCUUGUUAUUUUAUUGUAAUCUGAGCGUCUUAUUUUAAUAAGUCAAAACUUUCAACAACGGAUCUCUUGGUUCUG
rnacentral:misc_RNA from 2 species